GACAGAGGAUGCAAGCGUUAUCCGGAAUGAUUGGGCGUAAAGCGUCUGUAGGUGGCUUUUUAAGUCCGCCGUCAAAUCCCAGGGCUCAACCCUGGACAGGCGGUGGAAACUACCAAGCUGGAGUACGGUAGAGGGGGAUGGAAUUCCGCGUGUAGCAGUGAAAUGCGUAGAUAUGCGGAGGAACACCGAUGGCGAAGGCAAUCCCCUGGACCUGUACUGACGCUCAUGCACGAAAGCGUGGGGAGCAAACAGG
rnacentral:rRNA from 1 species